UAUUAUUCUCCCCGCUAAAGAUUAGGGGAUGUUGUUGCAAAAUGACUAUUGUUAGUUCCUUUUUUAGGUCCUUUAUUUAAUGCACCACUUCUCUAGUUUUGCAGUCUUCAUUUUCUCACACACCCUUGACAGUGUAAGAGCCAGACAGAGCAAGAAUUGUGAGGCAACAAAUGAUGCAUCCUAUGGGGUUCUUGGAUGUAAAUAUAAUAAACCAACUUGGCUAACUAGCAGGAAGGGAAUGUGCUGGAACAUCAGGUGGCUCACAAGAUAGUGAAUGCUGGAGAUCUAGGCUUGGGAAACAGGCAGGAACGGUCAGCUCAGCAGGAACAACGUGUUUGUCGGCCCUCCCGACUGGACCUUGGACAUUGCUGGCACCGAGGGUCAGCUACAGCCAUAUUCCUGCUGCUCCUGCAUGAAUAAUUCCCUACACUCUAGAGCCCCAGGUAAGGGCAUCAGUUUGGUCGGGCUUUGUUUGGAUAUUCACUCUCCAGUUGCCAGCACACAGGGAGACCGUGCAUCUGGCCCCUUUAAUUCCAGGGAGGGUUGCUGAGUGGGCUUCCUACGAAGGAGCCACAUAUGAUAGAGACUGAUAGUCCCCCACAUAUGAUAGUCCCUGAAUAGGAAGGGAGCACCAGAAGAGGGUUUCAGAUAGAAGAUUUUCUUCUUUGCAUUGAUUUUUAUUUCUUUGUGUAGCACAACCAACGAGGAUAUGUGACAAUCAGGACUUGUCUUCUGACUGCCUGGGAAUGAAAGUUGGUCCACAGUCUGAGAUAGGACAAGACCACAGAUUUCUGGGUUAAUGCAACCACAUAUGCUUUGCUUAGUAACACUUCUGUUAUGUUUUUGUAAAGAAGAAAGGCUCCUUGAUGUCAACAACUGUGUGGUCCCUGUGGAAGCUGCCUGCUACCCUCCCGUGAGUCUCUUCAUAGCAAGCCUGACAACGGAUCUUCCCGAUCUUCCAGGGCUCCAGCCACUAAUGAAAGGCAGCUUAGAAGAAGCAGACAAUAGACAAAAUUCAGCUGCCCCACACAGCAUUUUUCUCAUGCGUAUUUUCAUUUCAAGAAUGAUACUCUCAAGGAUAAGGAAAAAUUACAAAAGACACUAAUUUUUGAAGACCUUUUGAAAACCGAAACAGAGGAUGAUUUAAACCAUCCACAUUCCUCCUGACUUGAGCUUUCACAGACCUGAAUGCUGAUUGGAAAAUCCUGUCAUGGUUUCUCCGAAGAAAAAGGGUAAUAAUGACUAUAUUAAUAUGACAUUUCAACAUUCAAUGCAAUGCAAAACAAGUUUGUUUUUUUAGAAAAAGAAAAAAAAAAAGAAAGAAGAAGAAGAAACAGAAGAAAAAGAAAUCUAUCCCCCAACACCAACUGCACUGGAUGCAAUUUAAGCCCAGUGUGGAUUUUAUUUGCACCCCAUUACUCAUAAAUACCCAAAUGUAACUCUUUUACCAGAGCUCCUUUUGAGUUCAAUGUGAUAAUGAAUGUGAAGG
rnacentral:lncRNA from 1 species